GGAGAGAGCAAGGAGCAUGAGCUGGGGUUGGAACCAUUUGCAGGCAGGAAACAGACUGAAAUUCAGAGGAGUUUGCUUCUAGGAAGGCCAGAGCUUCCUUCAGGUUAGUAAGAAUACCAAUAAGAAAAUGCUGUAUUGAUGAAAAUGGAGUGAGAAGUAUAACUCAGGAUAUUACAGCUGGAAUAACCCUGCUGGAGAGAACAAUCUGUCAAGAGGCUGUUUACAAUAAGAAAAGAGAAUAACUUAUAAAACUGGAGAACAAGCAAGAGAACAAGACAAUUUAAAGGCAAAGUAUCAAGAAUUUGUCCCACACAUGAGGAGCACCUCUACUGUACUUUUCAUCUGAAUGGAUCCUAAUGAUGUAUAAUCUGAACAUCCGGAAGAAGCAUAAUGUGACAGAAUCUGAGGGAAAAAAUAUCUAGUAGCAUUUUGUUAAUGUGCAAACAAUGAUGCCUCAUUUUUCAGACUGUAUUAAUAGCUUUAAUUGCUUUCAAUAAAAUAAUCAA